UACGAAGGUGGCAAGCGUUGUUCGGAUUUACUGGGCGUACAGGGAGCGUAGGCGGUUGGAUAAGCCCUCCGUGAAAUCUCCAGGCUUAACCUGGAAAGUGCAGAGGGGACUGUUCAGCUAGAGGAUGGGAGAGGAGCGCGGAAUUCCCGGUGUAGCGGUGAAAUGCGUAGAGAUCGGGAGGAAGGCCGGUGGCGAAGGCGGCGCUCUGGAACAUUUCUGACGCUGAGGCUCGAAAGCGUGGGGAGCAAACAGGAUUAGAUG
rnacentral:rRNA from 1 species